UUUUUUGCUCCACAUAUGCAUGCUUUCUACGAUUCGGAGAUCAGUGCAGCCCAAAGAUCACAUUGGAUUCUCCUCACUACACUCCAUCUUCUAACCUAGUCUGCAUCACGGCUAGGUGCAUCCGUUGCCAAGUUCAUCCAAUAUAUGCCAACCGCAUUGCAAGGACGACCAUAUGCACACACACACCACAGUCCACAGGAGACAGAUAGCUAGCUAGCUUACUCUUUAGUCAUACAUACACUUAUAAAUAGCCACCGGCUCUGUGCUCAUCAGCAAGGCAGAUUAAACAAGUGAAGUGGUCCACAUCAAAAAUGAAGUAAUCAGGUCUAGGGAGUCAAAAUUUGGUUGGUUGUCCACUGGAGUUCUCCUCAAUCCACUUCAGUAGAUAGCUAUGGCUAGGCCUCAUUGCAUUGCACUGUUACAUAACUGUGAUCAUGGGGCCAAAAGCUAGCUAUGUAUAGUGAAGUGCUUGGGGGAACUCCAGUUGACACUCAGCAUUUUCAAGUUAGGUAUGUAAGUGCUUGUACUUUAUGAAUUUGUAAGUGACAGAGAAUGAUUAGGUUUGGAGUCCCUAGGAGUUCCUUUCAAGCACUUUACNACACACUGUAUUGAGAGUUGUCGUGAAGUGUUUGGGGGAACUCUUAGUG
rnacentral:precursor_RNA from 1 species